GCCUCAGUAACGGCGAGUGAAGCGGCAACAGCUCAAAUUUGAAAUCUGGCGCAAGCCCGAGUUGUAAUUUGUAGAGGAUGCUUCAGGGCAGCGGCCGGUCUAAGUUCCUUGGAACAGGACGUCAUAGAGGGUGAGAAUCCCGUAUGCGACCGGUUGGCACCCGUCACGUAGCUCCUUCGACGAGUCGAGUUGUUUGGGAAUGCAGCUCUAAAUGGGUGGUAAAUUCCAUCUAAAGCUAAAUACCGGCCAGAGACCGAUAGCGCACAAGUAGAGUGAUCGAAAGAUGAAAAGCACUUUGGAAAGAGAGUUAAAAAGCACGUGAAAUUGUUGAAAGGGAAGCGCAUGCAACCAGACUUGUCGGCGGCGUUCCGCCGGUCUUCUGACCGGUCCACUCGCCGCCGGCAGGCCAGCAUCAUCUGGGCGCGCCGGACAAAGGCGCGGGGAAUGUAGCUCCUCGGAGUGUUAUAGCCCCGCGCACAAUACGGCGCCGCCCGGGUGAGGUCCGCGCUCCGGCUAGGAUGCUGGCGUAAUGGUUGUAUGCGGCCCGUCUUGAAACACGGACCAAGGAGUCUAACAUCUAUGCGAGUGUUCGGGUGUCAAACCCCUGCGCGGAAUGAAAGUGAACGGAGGUGGGAAGCGCAAGCUGCACCAUCGACCGAUCCUGAUGUCUUCGGAUGGAUUCGAGUAAGAGCAUAGCUGUUGGGACCCGAAAGAUGGUGAACUAAACUUGGCCAGAGCGAAGCCAGAGGAAACUCUGGUG
rnacentral:rRNA from 1 species